rnacentral:sRNA from 1 species
GCAGCCAGCGGUACGCGAGCAGUGCAAAA